rnacentral:rRNA from 1 species
GUCCACGCUGUAAACGAUGAUCGUUAGCUGGUGGAAUAAUUCACUAGCGUAGCUAACGCAUUAAACGAUCCGCCUGAGUAGUAUGCUCGCAAGAGUGAAACUUAAAGGAAUUGACGGGGACCCGCACAAGCGGUGGAGCAUGUGGUUUAAUUUGAAGAUACGCAUAGAACCUUACCCACUUUUGACAUCUUUUGCAAAGCUAUAGAGAUAUAGUGGAGGUUAACAAAAUGACAGAUGGUGCAUGGUU